UAAGUUAAAUCUGUCUCACCUUUUCUCCCAAAUCCAAUUAAUUAAAUUAAUCAGUCCUGUCACCAGUGACUUGGUGUAGGUCCUCAUUCCAUUUUAUUGGCACAUCACAAAAACAUUGAUUAUUAACUGAUAUUUUCAACUCUAGACUUGUUCCUCUCAAUACAUUCAUUCACUGUUGUAGAACUAAAAAAGCCACUCCUGUCCCUCAGAUUCAUCCUGUAGCUACUGAGAAUCAUCUGCAAUACAGCAUCCUGAACAUACUAUUACUCAUACAUUGCCUUUGCUCAUGCCUCGUACAGUUUUAUUCCCCCUAUACCACUAGCACACACUAUUUUACUUAUAAUUCUGCAUUUAUUCAUCUCUUCCUUGUUUAGAUCAUGAGAAAAAACUUGUUUCAUAGCCAUCUUCUGUUCCAAGGGACUUGCAUAGUUCUUGGUCUAUAGCAAGUGCUGAAUGGUUAUAGAAUGGAUUUUCUGAGCCAUAGCUGGAAAGCAUAAUGAUGAUGCUGACAUCUGAGAAUACUACUUGCAGCUAAAGAAAAUAAUCUCCCAAAUUAUAGUGGUUUGACAGAAUACAAGCUCUUUUCUUUGUCACCUAACAGUUCAACAUGAGCAUUCUCCAAAACUCUUCUGCAUGAGUAUUUGAGAGAUAGCUGGCCAUCUCUACCACAUGACUUAUGAAAGCAAGAAUAUAUGUCCUAUAUUACAAUGGAAAAUGAAAUUUUCUGCAGGGGUUAUUAAAGUAGUGAAUUUCAGUUAUCAGGAAAAGGCCCUUAGGUAUAAUGUUUUGUUACCAACAACUGUGGAUGGCUUUUGAGGUUGCAUCAGCCUUGGGAAUGAUUUUCAAAAACAGUUAAAUCCAUACAGCUUUAAUUUGGACCUCCCAUGAAUUGUAGGACCUGCCCAAUGAGAUUAGGCAUUUGGAAUAGCUCAGAUCUCCCUGCAGUAAUUACAUUUUACUUUCUUAAAACCAGAUGUUCCCCAGGACAGGGAGAAUUUCAUGUUUUCUAAAACAGGUGGAGCAUCUUUAAACAGUUCCACUUUUCACACACUACAUUUUCAAAUAAAAAAGAAAGUAUCUUUUUUACCUUAAAGGAUAGUGCCCAAAUUUCACCUAUCAAAAAUAUCAUUUUUUAAGAAAUUGUUAGAUUUCUUCAUAUGAAUAUCAAAUAACUCUAUCUGUAAUUGCCUACUCUCUCCUAUUUGAUAUAUGAGAAAUUAAAUGGAAAAUUUGCCCAAUAGAGACAGACAGGUGCUAUAUAAACACAUCUGUAGGUCAUUUAGAAAUUAAUAUCAUCACCCUUUUCAUUAAAGUGACAUGCAUAUAUUUAGAAACUACUUACCAAAAACCUAAUGAAAGACUGUCCUUAAUAACUUCGCUUUAUGUUCACAUAUAAAUCAGCAUUAAAAUCCUUUACAUAAUGAAAGGCACAUUCUUCGCCAGGAAAAAAAAAUAAGUUCUAUUUGUUUUCCCAUUUAAAAAAUGUGGACUGAAACUUUAUCCUGUUUGUUUAAAUAAUUUAUACAUUUAUUACCACUGUGUAUGUAUAAAGGUAUUUCACAUUUUGAGUCUUAUACAGUUUAUAAAUAAGUAUCACAUUUUCUAGUAUCACAUUUGCACUAAUGUUGAGAUGAUUGUAUUACAAUAUAGAAAUAAAUACAUAGCUAAGGACAUAUCAAAAUUCAUAUACUUGUAUCUACAAUGAGUGUUAAGUUUUUCAUGUGAAGAUCCUCAGGGCAUCUCUAUUGAGUUCAUGGCAUACUUUCCCUAAAUCAUUUAUGCUGACAUGGUGUCAUGGAUAAAGUCUAAAUUUGUAUAUGAGUUACAACAGCUAUUUUCUGCCUGAGUACUCAGUCUUACCAAUGUCUGUGUUUCAUCCUAUAUUCAUGGAAUCUCUAGGCUACGUGGCAUUCACUGCACAGGAGAUGGAGACAUAAACUUUUAAGCAAGUAAAUGGGCUUCUGUGAUCAUUUCACGCACAAUUUCUAAAUUUAAUCCUUCUUGUAUAGAGUUUUAUAAGAUCAUUUUACAGUCUGUCUAUUGAAAGACAGCUAACAUACAUAAUUGUUGAAUAGAUGUCUGUUCAAGGUAAAUCAAUGAGGUCAUUUUUUAUGUUGAAAUCUGUUAUAAAGUGCGUGGAAUCCAAAUAUAAUGCAAAUGGAAGACUAACUUCUGAUUAAAAGACCUGUGGAUUCAAUUGAUAACAUUUCAUGUUAAACUGCACUGGAAUUAAAGUUACCAAAUAUGAAGAUCCACCAGUGCUAGCAUUUCAGAAGUCUCAUUUGAAAACCCAGUUUAGCCUUUACACAAAUCAUGUACAUCUUAGGUAGUUUUUCAUUGUUGAUUAUGUAAAGUACUGCAAUGCCUUGAUUCUCUAUUUUUAUGUGGGGAAUAGAAGCAUUUGAGAAAAUCCUUACACGUGUAUUUUUGGUUGUUUUCAUUCUGCAUUGUCUUAUGGUUAUUUAAUAUGAAUCAAUAGGUGAUAUAAAAGUUAAAGAGGUUCUUGAGGUUAAAUAUAAACUCUCUACCAAGAUGGACAUUGAAAUAUAGAGACUUGUUUAUGUUAAGACUUUAUUAAAACAGAUAGCUUUUUCAGGGAAAGCAUAUGCUGUAUUCAUCUUAUUAGAGUGUUAUUACUCUCUUAUGACUAAAAGGAUAGAUUUUUAAAAUAUAUAAUCCACAGAAAGCACUCCAGUAUAUAAACUCUUUUUCUAUAGAAUGUUUAUUUUUGCCAAUUAAAUCUGACAAUGCCUGCAAUAAAAAUGAUUACAGGGUUAUGACAAACCUGUGCACUUAUUUCUCAUUUUUAGUUUAUUUUUAAAACAUGCUAGUUAUAUUUGAAGGUGAAAGCACAAGCUGUGUUUUCAAGAUGUGUUUUUUCUCAGUAGAAUUAUGUCAUGGGAAAACACUAUGGAUAUCCAUCAAAGUGAAACCUACAAGGACAUAAGAGCUCGUUAUUAGCGAACAUUGUUUGUAACCUUCAGAUGGCUUCAGCAUUUCUGUGACAAAAUAGCAAGGAGAAAGAAAGAUUAAAUCACAUCAUACCCUCAAAAUUAACAUCACUACAUAAAUUAUGGCUUUUAUGUAAAUCUAAAAUUUAUAUUUUUUACUUUAAAACAAUGAACUAUUACAGCUUCCAAGCUUUGUAAUAAAAUGUUACAGUGAGUUCAAGUUCGGUAAGGUCAAUGCUGGCUUCAGGUUAACAUUAUUGAUUGAAACUUGCUAAAACAUCCUGGCAGAUACAGUGCAAUAACUUCAGUCAGGAAAGUAAGCUGAGGAACAUAGCAUUGUGGUUCUGACGCAUGUUGUGGCUAGUAUACUUGUUCCUUCUGCAAAAACCUAGAAGGAACAAAAGAUAAUUAAAUGUGGAAUUGUAUAACACUGGUAAAUGAUAGAAAGUUACUGUUCAUAUACUAACGCAAACUUUGGUAGCACACUUGCAAUUAGAUUAUUUAUGUUUUUAAUAAAUAGUUUUGAAAGAUGAAUAUUUUAUUCUUAUUCAUACCUUAAAAAAACUAAAACCUAAAAAUGUGUAAUGUUGUAAUGGUCUCCAAAUUUGUAUUUAUACUCUAUUUUUAUACAUAUACAUUAUGUAUACUAUUUAUAUAUAUUCUAUAUGUUUUGAGAAAGUAUAUACAUAAAUUAUAUAUGUAUGUAAUAUAUGGUGUUCUUUAUUGGGUCAGGAAUUUGAGGACCUUUUUUUCUUUCUUUUUUUUUCAAACAUUAUUCCCUCUUUUAAACAAGGUUGAUGAGAUGAUAGAAAAUGUUGGAAGGAAGGCUGCAAUCUGCUAUAAUGGAAGAGAGCUUUUUUCUUUGCCACCCUCAUAUGGUUAAUGUGGGCAUCUCUGACCUUGACAAUUUUCAACAAAUGUACUUGAAGAGAAAUAUACUUCAGGCAAAAUAUUGUAGCAAUCAAAGCCUUUGGUGGUUAAAUUGACUAAAAAUAUUGGCCCAUUAUUCAAUUUAUUUUAUUUCUGUUAGUAAUAGGCUUGGUUGACAGAGAGAUUACUGGCUGUUUUCAUUGACAUGUAUAAACAGAAUUCCAGUUUAAAGAAAGUAAUCUACUGUUGAUUUUCUGAGGGAACAUAUCACUAAAAUGAUAUCCCUUUGUGAUGUUUAUUCUAUUGUUUGUUCACUCGUGGAAUGGUAAACUAUGGAUGUGACAUUUGAAAGCACAUAAGUGGAAAAUUCUAAAAGAUUGAACAGUGUAGACCUGAUAUCCUCUAAAAUGGGUAAACUCUCACAUUUGAAAUUUUAAAUCGCCCUAUUUGAACUUUUUCCUCUAUGAGCAGCUCUCAGGCAGAUGAACAUUCCUAUCAUUUAAAUCAUCAUGUGAAUUCUGACCCUAAUUGGGUAAGUUUUAUAUUAGGUUCCCACCAAGCAAUCAUGGAAGCAAUUAUGGGGACUUGUCCUAGGGCUGCCAUAGCCCAGGUGCUGUUGCCUGAUUGUCAUUUUGUAAUUACCUUGGUACUUCCCAGCUACUCCUUAGCAUCAGUUAAAGGAUACAACAUACUUCAAGUGAAGUUUCCUUGGAAGUACAAGUAAAUAAUUAUUUAGUUUGCUGCUUUAUGAAGGUGCUGUUUGCUUUACCUGGGAUGUGCAGAGGUAUAAUGAAAAUUGCACCUCUCCUCUCUUCUGAGGAGACUUGUACAGACAUUAAAUUGGAGAUGGAAUCUUUGCAAUUAUCCACAGAGUUCCUUUUUAAAUAUAGAAAGUACCUUAAAUAAUAGUGAUGAUAGAGGCAUUGCCAACUUUAGGAUUUUUUUCAAGUCUUUGAAGUCUGACUUUGCAGAACAGAUUGUAAAUCUCUGGCCCAUUACACACCUGCGGAGAUUUUGGUGUUUUAUUUCUCUUGGGUGAAACUACAGAAGCCAAAACCAUGUUAAUCACUGUCAGAACCAGUUGUAUAAAAUGCCAAAAUGCAGUGAACCAAGUGUUUUAUAAUAAAUAUGACAAUACAGUCAGAAUGUUGUUUUGUUAGGCUUGUUAUUUGUUGUAAUUUUUCAUUUAUAAUCUUUGAAAGGAGAAUAUUCUAAGGCUUUUAUCAAAAAAAAAAUUUAACCACAGGGGAGAUGUCACCAUAUUGUAUAAAUAAUACUCUAAGUCCUUGUAUAAUAAUUAAUUCAGAUAAAAAUAAAUUUAAUGGUGAUAUUUGAUUUAAAUGCUUUAAAUAUACCUGUUUUAACACUUCAAUAUCAAAUAUUGCUACACAAAUUUUUAUUUAUCUGACACUCUCUGAAUGACAUAAUUAAUAGGAGAAUUAAUAUUUUCACUAUAUUAUUUCAUAUUUUUAUCUUUCUUUUUUAUUUAUAAUUGGAUCUUAGGUUUCUUUCUACCAAAUAGCAAUUAUGAUGAUUGGGAUAUGGAAAAAAUAAUUUUAAUCAUCUACCAGUGUUACUUAAAUUAGAUGCUGAAUUAACUAGAUUUAAAAUUAAUACAGAUAGCUUAGCUAUGUCAUUGGCUUUUCUUUACUCAGUAUCCUGACAUGCAUUUUCAACUGAUCUAUCAAAGGAAACAUGUUCUGUGACAAAGAGAAUAAAUAUAUCAUAAUAUAUCAUAAAUUGCUAUGUGUAGUUCAUGAUGGAUGAUUCUGAUAUGUAAUAUCCAAAUUAAAUAAUAUCCAUAUAUUCAUGCACCAUCUGAUGUAAUUUUAAUAACAAUUUUGGGGAAGAUUGUUCUUCCUAUUGAAUAACCACUUACAUAAAUGUAAAACGUGUUAAAUUUACUUGCAGUCGGGAGUUCCUGUUGUGGCUCAGUGGUUAACAAAUCUGACUAGGAACCAUGAGGUUGUAGGUUUGAUUCCUGGCUUCACUCAGUGGAUUAAGGAUCUGCUGUUGCCACGACCUGUAGUGUAGGUCACAGAAGCAGCUUGGGUCCAAGUUGCUGUGGCUGUGGCUUAGGCCUGUGGCUUGGGCCUGCGGCUACAGCUCCAAUUCAACCCCUAGCCUGGGAACCUCCAUAUGCCGUGGCUGUGGCCCU
rnacentral:lncRNA from 1 species